UUUCGAAUCAUUCACAAUGGGCGACAGCCUGAUGGUGCGACGCCGCGUGAGGGAUGAAGGUCUUCGGAUUGUAAACCUCUGUCCCCGGGGAAGAAACGCUUUGAGUUAAUAGUUCAAAGCCUGACUUAACCCGGAGAGGAAGCAGUGGCUAACUCUGUGCCAGCAGCCGCGGUAAUACAGAGACUGCAAGCGUUAUUCGGAUUCACUGGGCGUCAAGGGUGCGCAGGCGGCCGUGUGUGUGAGGCGUGAAAGCCUGGAGCUUAACUCCAGAAUUGCACCGCAAACUACACGGCUAGAGCAUUGGAGAGGGUAGCAGAAUUCACGGUGUAGCAGUGAAAUGCGUAGAUAUCGUGAGGAAUACCAGAGGCGAAGGCGGCUACCGGGACAAUUGCUGACGCUCAGGCACGAAAGCGUGGGGAGCAAAAG
rnacentral:rRNA from 1 species